UUUUUUUUUUUUUUUUGAGAAUUCCUUAAUUAUUUUUACAGUAAACCUUGGCGCUUGAGUGAUUUCACUUAAAAGGAGGAAAAAAGGAGAAGCUCAAUGCUGAAUAAAAACUAGUAAAAUUGUGUGUAGGCAGUUGGUGGUAUGGUAAAAUGCAUAUGAACUAAAGACAAGAGACAGAUUUGUGUUCCAGACAAGAGAUUACCCAAGAUAGGCUUCGAUUUUCAUUAAGAGGAAUUGAGCUAUUUGAUCUCCAAAUUCACUUUAAGUUCAGCAUUUGAAUAAUUGUACAAAACCACUUUAAUUAUUUCAAGAUCAUCUAAUAAACUAACAUUCAUUAGCUCACUACACAGAAUGCUGAAAUGCCUCCACUGGCUUUCCAUUUCUCUUAGAAUAAAAUCUAAAUUCUUUAUCAUCAGGGAUCCAUGGGUGGCUCAGCGGUUUAGCACCUGCCUUCGGCCCAGGGCAUGAUCCUGGAGACCCGGGAUCGAAUCCUACAUCAGGCUCCCUGCAUGAAGCCAGCUUCUCCCUCUGCCUGUGUCUCUGCCUCUGUGUGUGUCUCUCUCAUGACUAAAUAAUAAAAUCCUUUAAAAAAAUUCUUUAUCGUGGCCCAGAAAGCCCUGAAAUCUGUCUCGCCACAACUUUCUCUCCAUUCACACCACUCUCUGUUUACAUGUCUGGGUCAGUUAUCCACACUUGCAAAGCUCCAAUAUGUCUUGAGGCUUUGCCUUUCUUUUCUUUAACAUCCUCUGUUCCGUAUCUAAGCUUAUCAAGGUUGUCGAGUUUUUGUCCUUUGGGUCUCAGCUCAAAUUGUCACCUCCUCCUUCUCAAAGAGGUUCUCCCUAUCCAGCUGAUCUAAAGGAGCUUUUCCCAAGUUCAUCUCUAUCACCUAGCCUGGUUUAAUUUCCUCUAUAACAACUUGCAAUGAUUUUGCUCAUUUACUUGCCCUUCAUCUGCUUUCUUCUAUACAAAUGCAUAAGCUAUGUGAAGGCAAGGAUCUUAUCCAUCGGACUCCUCCGUGUACCCUCUGGAACAGUGCCUGAUAGGCAUUGCAUAAGUAUUUUGAGAAUAAAUGAAUGAUCAUAUGUCACCAAUGCCAAAGCAUAAUGCUUGGUACAUAGUAAGCAUUCAGUAAAUAUUUUCUCAAUGUAACUGAAUGAGUGAACUUUGGUCACCUUCUUAUAAAGGUGACAUGACUUAUUUACUAUCUAUUCUGUAUUAGUUUCCUCUCACUGCUGUAAAAAAUUACCACAAAUUUGAUGACUUAAAAUAACACAGUUAUUAUUUUAUAGUUCUGAAGAUCAGAAAUCAAACACGAGUCUCAUGGGGCUAAUAUCAAGGUAUUGACAGGGCUGUAUUCAUUCUGGAGAUUUUAGGGAAGAAUUUAUUAAUUUGCCUUUUCUAGCUUGUAGAGGCUGCCUGCAUUCUUUGGCUCAUAGCCCCCUGGGAUCUUCAAUAACAGCAAUGGCUAGCUGAAUUUUUAGAUGCUGUAUCAUUCUGACACUGAUUCUCCUGCCUCCCUUGGGAUUCUAUUGAGCCUGCUUGGAUAAUACAGAAUAAUCUCAUCUAUAAAUCCUUACUUUAAUCACAUCUGCAACAUCCUUUUGGCCAUGUAAUGUAACAUAUUCAUAGGUUCCAGGGAUUAGGACAUAGACAUCUUUUGGAGGGUCAUUAUUCUGCUGCUGCAUUGUCAUUUUGAAUGCUUCUGGAAGAAAUCACCCUUGUCUUGGGUGAUCUUAUGGAACCCUCUUAUUGUUCACACAUGCUACAUGGUCACAUUCUGGAGAGGAUUCCUCAUACUCUUAUAUCUCAUUUUCCCACCUAUGGCUUGAGGGGGUGAGUAAUGCUACUUUGCAUACAUUGACCAAAGGGUUUAGACUACUACCACCUAUGCAUUUAAACAGCCUAAAAAUACGCAGACGUUGACAUCUCUGGACAGGCAAAAAAUCCAUUUCUGUUGCUGGUAGAGGAUAAUUAUAAGAAGAGAAAACACAUUCUAUUCUAUUCCCAUCACCAAAAUAAGGACACCACCACUGUAUAUUGCAAGAAGAUAAAUUCAGUGGGAGUCAAGGAAAUUGCACCAUUAUUAGAAGGAUCUAUCUUAAGCCUGGAAGGCAGUGGGGAGAAGGGCUGUGUGAUAGACUACAAAAUUUGCAUUGAGCUAAGGCAGUUCUCUUCCCUUGCCUAGGGUAAGUCAGCCUAUACAAUUAAGCAAACCCAGGGGCCUAACACAUUAACUUACCAUCGAUAUAUUCUAACUGCCUUGGCACAGCUAGUGUUUCUGGCAUUAUUUAUGAAGGCAGUCUUGCUAUAUUUGCACAGCAUGCAGCAUUGUUCAUAACAGGCUACAGAUUAUUGUCGAUGAAUAAUGCCUGAGAAGCUCCUAACCCUUUGUGCUUAUGCCUAAUAACUAAAUGGCAAUAGCUGCUUUUUUGUUCUGCUCAAGAUUAUAGCAC
rnacentral:lncRNA from 1 species